GCGCGUUUUCCUUGUGUCUUUUCGCCGAUAAGGUUUUAAAAACACAAUACAAAUAGAGUGAUCACUGAGAGCUACAGCACUCAAGAUUGGCUUUUGUCUACAUCGAUCCUUCCGUCUCGAAUCACCCCC
ensembl:ncRNA K03B8.17 ncRNA